rnacentral:rRNA from 1 species
AACGAACGCUGGCGGCGCGCCUAAUACAUGCAAGUCGAGCGAGAAGACGUAGCAAUACGUUUGUAAAGCGGCGAACGGGUGAGGAAUACAUGGGUAACCUACCCUCGAGUGGGGAAUAACUAGCCGAAAGGUUAGCUAAUACCGCGUACGCUCCUUGGACUUCGGUUCAGGGAGGAAAGCGAUGCCGAGGGUAUCGCGCUCUUGGAUGGGCUCAUGUCCUAUCAGCUUGCNGGUGAGGUAACGGCUCACCAAGGCUUCGACGGGUAGCUGGUCUGAGAGGACGAUCAGCCACACUGGCACUGCGACACGGGCCAGACUCCUACGGGAGGCAGCAGUAAGGAAUAUUGCGCAAUGGGCGAAAAGCCUGACGCAGCGACGCCGCGUGGGGGAU